rnacentral:rRNA from 1 species
GAUGAACGCUAGCGGCAGGCCUAAUACAUGCAAGUCGAGGGGCAGCACAGGUAGCAAUACUGGGUGGCGACCGGCAAACGGGUGCGGAACACGUACGCAACCUUCCUUCGAGUGGGGAAUAGCCCAGAGAAAUUUGGAUUAAUACCCCGUAAGAUCGUGGACUGGCAUCAGUCAGCGAUAAAAGCUCAGGCACUUGAAGAUGGGCGUGCGCCUGAUUAGGUAGUUGGUGAGGUAACGGCUCACCAAGCCGACGAUCAGUAACUGGCGUGAGAGCGCGACCAGUCACACGGGCACUGAGACACGGGCCCGACUCCUACGGGAGGCAGCAGUAAGGAAUAUUGGUCAAUGGACGCAAGUCUGAACCAGCCAUGCCGCGUGGAGGAUGAAGGUCCUCUGGAUUGUAAACUUCUUUUAUCUGGGAAGAAAUGUGGAUUUUCUAAUCUAUUUGACGGUACCAGAUGAAUAAGCACCGGCUAACUCCGUGCCAGCAGCCGCGGUAAUACGGAGGGUGCAAGCGUUAUCCGGAUUCACUGGGUUUAAAGGGUGCGUAGGCGGAUUUGUAAGUCCGUGGUGAAAUCUCCGAGCUUAACUCGGAAACUGCCAUGGAUACUAUAAGUCUUGAAUGUUGUGGAGGUUUGCGGAAUAUGUCAUGUAGCGGUGAAAUGCUUAGAUAUGACAUAGAACACCGAUUGCGAAGGCAGCAGGCUACACAAAUAUUGACGCUGAGGCACGAAAGCGUGGGGAUCAAACAGGAUUAGAUACCCUGGUAGUCCACGCCCUAAACGAUGAUUACUCGACAUACGCGAUACACAGUGUGUGUCUGAGCGAAAGCAUUAAGUAAUCCACCUGGGAAGUACGACCGCAAGGUUGAAACUCAAAGGAAUUGACGGGGGCCCGCACAAGCGGUGGAGCAUGUGGUUCAAUUCGACGCAACGCGCAGAACCUUACCAGCCCUUGACAUGUGACUCGCCGGUACCAGAGAUGGUACCUUCGGUUCGGCCGGAGUCAGCACAGGUGCUGCAUGGCUGUCGUCAGCUCGUGUCGUGAGAUGUUGGGUUAAGUCCCGCAACGAGCGCAACCCUCGUCUCCAGUUGCCAUCAGGUAAUGCUGGGCACUUUGGAGAAACUGCCGGUGACAAGCCGGAGGAAGGUGGGGAUGACGUCAAGUCCUCAUGGCCCUUACGGGCUGGGCUACACACGUGCUACAAUGGCGGUGACAGUGGGAUGCGAAGGGGCGACCCGGAGCCGAUCCCAAAAAACCGUCCCAGUUCGGAUUGCACUCUGCAACUCGAGUGCAUGAAGGUGGAAUCGCUAGUAAUGGCGCAUCAGCACGGCGCCGUGAAUACGUUCCCGGGCCUUGUACACACCGCCCGUCACAUCACGAAAGUGGGUUGUACUAGAAGUCUGCGUGCCAACCGAAAGGAGGCAGCGGCCCAAGGUAUGACUCAUGAUUGGGGUGAAGUCGUAACAAGGUAAC